rnacentral:rRNA from 1 species
UACGUAGGUGGCAAGCGUUGUCCGGAUUUACUGGGCGUAAAGAGCGCGCAGGCGGUCGUUCAAGUCGCGUGUGAAAGCCCCCGGCUCAACUGGGGAGGGUCACGCGAUACUGAUCGACUCGAAGGCAGGAGAGGGAAGUGGAAUUCCCGGUGUAGUGGUGAAAUGCGUAGAUAUCGGGAGGAACACCAGUGGCGAAGGCAGCUCGCUGGGACGGUAUUGACGCUAAGGCGCGAAAGCGUGGGGAGCAAACAGG